GACAGAGGUGCCAAGCGUUAGGCGGAAUCACUGGGCUUAAGGCGUGUGUAGGCGGAAUGGUAAGUACCUUGUGAAAUCCCACAGCUCAACUGUGGAACUGCUCGGUAUACUGCUUUUCUUGAGCCACUUAGGGGCUGUCGGAACAAACGGUGGAGCGGUGAAAUGCGUAGAUAUCAUUUGGAACGCCAAUGGUGAAAACAGGUAGCUGGGGCUGUGCUGACGCUGAGACACGAAAGCCAGGGGAGCAAACGGG
rnacentral:rRNA from 1 species